AUUGAACGCUGGCGGCAUAGCUAAAACAUGCAAGUUGAGCGAAGCAGUAGCAAUACUGACUGAGCGGCGUAAGGGUGAGGAAUACAUUUCUAUGUACCCCAAGGUCGAGGAUAGCCAAGAGAAAUCUUGGGUAAUACUCGAUGUGGUCGUAAGAUCAAAGGUUUACCGCCUUGGGAGCGGGGAAUGUCCUAUCAGGUAGUUGGUGGGGUUACGGCUCACCAAGCCAAAGACGGGUAGCAGGUGUGAGAGCACGGCCUGCCACAUCGAAACUGAGACACUGUUCGGACUCCUACGGGAGGCUGCAGUAACGAAUCUUCCGCAAUGCGCGAAAGCGUGACGGGGUAAUGCCGCGUGCAGGAUGAAGCCCUUCGGGGUGUAAACUGCUGUCAGGGGCUAGGAAUUUCAUGACCAGCCCCAAAGGAAGAGCCGGCUAACUCUGUGCCAGCAGCCGCGGUAAUACAGAGGGCUCGAGCGUUAAUCGGAAUCACUGGGCUUAAAGCGUGCGUAGGCGGAUCUUCAGGCUUGUUGUGAAAUCCCACGGCUCAACCGUGGAAUUGCGAUGAGAACCGGAGAUCUUGAGUCAGGUAGAGGCGGGUGGAACGAUAGGUGGAGCGGUGAAAUGCGUAGAUAUCUAUCGGAACGCCAAAGGAGAAGUCAGCCCGCUGGGCCUGUUCUGACGCUGAGGCACGAAAGCGUGGGUAGCAAACGGGAUCAGAUACCCCGGUAGUCCACGCCGUAAACGAUGCGCACUAGACUGAGGGAGCUUGACGCUUUCUCAGUCGUAGCAAAAGUGCUAAGUGCGCCGCCUGGGGAGUACGGUCGCAAGAUUAAAACUCAAAGGAAUUGACGGGGGCUCACACAAGCGGUGGAGCAUGUGGCUUAAUUCGAAGCAACGCGAAGAACCUUAUCCUAGGCUUGACAUGUACGUAUUAACUCCCCGAAAAGGGAGCCACUCCCGCAAG
rnacentral:rRNA from 1 species